AUGGCCGGCCGGACCGUACGGGCCGAGACCCGGAGCCGGGCCGAGAUGACAUCAAGAAGGUAAUGGCGACCAUCGAGAAGGUCCGGAAAUGGAAGAAGCAAUGAGUGACUGUGGGCGACACUUCCCUUCAUAUCUUCAAGUGAGUGCCAGUGGUGGACCCCCAGGAGGAGGAGCGAAGGCGGGCAGGUGGCGGGGCAAAGAGAUCCCGUGGCUGGGAACGUCGGGGCAGGGGCGCCAGUCCCCAAGGGGGUGGCCCUCUCAUCCUGCUGGAUCUCAAUGAUGAGAACAGCAACCAGAGUUUCCAUUCGGAAGGUUCCCUGCAAAAAGGCACAGAGCCCAGUCCUGGGGGCACCUCCCAGCCCAGCCGCCCUGUGUCACCUGCCGGACCCCCAGAAGGGGUCCCUGAGGAGGCUCAGCCCCCACGGCUGGGCCAAGAGAAAAAUCCCGGGGGCAUAACUGCUGGCAGCACUGACGAACCCCCAAUGCUGACCAAGGAGGCCCUGGCAAUGAUCCAGCAGAUGCAUGCCUGGACACACUUGAGUAAUCGAAAGCUAAAAUUACUGAUUGAAAAAACUGACUUUCUAAUCCCAAAGGCAAGUACCCUCGUAGAACAAGUGACAUCUGCCUGUAAGGUCUGUCAGCAGGUAAACGCUGGGGCUACCCAAGUGCCAGAAAGGAAACGAACUCGUGGUAACAGCCCAGGAGUCUAUUAGGAAAUAGACUUCACAGAAGUAAAACCUCACUAUGCUGGAUAUAAGUACUUACUGGUGUUUGUAGAUACCUUUUCAGGAUGGGUAAAAGCCUAC